rnacentral:rRNA from 1 species
AGUGAACGCUGGCGGUAGGCCUAACACAUGCAAGUCGAACGGCAGCACAGUAAGAGCUUGCUCUUACGGGUGGCGAGUGGCGGACGGGUGAGGAAUACAUCGGAAUCUACUUUUUCGUGGGGGAUAACGUAGGGAAACUUACGCUAAUACCGCAUACGACCUACGGGUGAAAGCAGGGGAUCUUCGGACCUUGCGCGAUUGAAUUAGCCGAUGUCGGAUUAGCUAGUUGGCGGGGUAAAGGCCCACCAAGGCGACGAUCCGUAGCUGGUCUGAGAGGAUGAUCAGCCACACUGGAACUGAGACACGGUCCAGACUCCUACGGGAGGCAGCAGUGGGGAAUAUUGGACAAUGGGCGCAAGCCUGAUACAGCCAUACCGCGUGGGUGAAGAAGGCCUUCGGGUUGUAAAGCCCUUUUGUUGGGAAAGAAAAGCAGCAGGUUAAUACCCCGCUGUUCUGACGGGACCCAAAGAAUAAGCACCGGCUAACUUCG